GGCCCCAUGGUCAAGUGGACUAAGACACCGGCCUUUCAAGCCGGUAACGCGGGUUCGAAUCCCGCUGGGGUCACCA
rnacentral:tRNA from 2 species